AUGGCCUCCGCCGGCGAGCACACAGUGCCCCUGCUCGACCGCCCACCCCCCGAGGCAGCGGAGGCAUACACCACCGACGGGUCUCUUGAUUUCGACGGGAACCCGGCGCUGAAGAAUCGGACGGGUGGAUGGCGCGCAUGCCGCGCAGUCCUCGGUACCGACUUCUGCUACUGCCUGGCCUUCCAUGGCAUCUCCUACAACCUCGUCACGUACCUCACGACCGUCCUGGGCCAGACCAACGUCGCCGCCUCGAGGUGCGUCUCCACCUGGAAGGGCACCUGUUACCUCACUCCUCUCGCCGGCGCCGUCGUCGCCGACUCCUACUGGGGAAGGUACCGCACCAUGGUCGUCUCCUGCUCCGUCGGCGUCGCAGGCAUGCUCAUGGCAGCACUCUCAGCGUACCUGCCGCUGCUCGUCAAGAACGGCGCGUCGUUCACAGGCCUCACCUCGUCCAACAUCGUGUCGGCUCAGGAGUUCAUCUUGUUUCUGGGCCUCUACAUGGUUGCCUUUGGGUUGGGCGGCCUCAGGCCGUGCCUGAUGUCCUUCGGCGCCGAUCAGUUCGACGACGGCGAUCCAUCGGAGCGCGUGACGAAGGGCUCCUUCUUCAACUGGUACGUCUUCAACAUGUACUGCGCAUCGCUGGUAUCCAGCACCGGCAUCGUAUGGGUGCAGGACCGUUACGGCUGGGCGCUGGGGCUGACCAUCCCGGCGGCCGUCCUCGCCGUCGGGCUUUCUUGCCUGGUCGUGGGCUCGCGGACGUGCAGGUUUCACCGCCCCGGCGGCAGCGCACUCACCAGAGUGUGCCAGGUCGUCGUUGCUGCAGUGAGAAAUUUUGGCGUCGAGCCGCCGUCCGACAGCUCUCUUCUCUACGACCCGCGGGAAGAAGACCUCGCAGUUCAGAGGAUCGAGCACACCCCUGAUCUCCGAUUCUUCGACAAGGCCGCCGUUGUCGUGCCUUCGGGCAAGGAGGUGGAGACGGCAGCCGCGUCGACACCGCACAGCCCGUGGAGACUCUGCAUUGUGACGCAGGUUGAGGAGACCAAGAUUCUCGUGCGGAUGCUUCCGCUCUGGGCGACCGUCGUGUUCUUCUAUGCCGUGUUAGCGCAGGUCUCGUCGACGUUCGUCGAGCAAGGCAUGGCGAUGGACGCCAAAGUCGGCUCCGUACGCGUCCCGCCCGCGUCCAUGUCCACCUUUGAAGUGCUCACCAUCAUCGCCCUGGUCCCGCUCUACGACCGGGCAUUCGUUCCUGCGGCCAGGAGGCUCACCGGGAGGGAGAAGGGCAUCUCGGGGCUUCAGAGGAUCGGUGCCGGCCUCGCCAUGCCCGUGCUCGCCAUGGCCGCAGCGGCGCUUCUCGAGACGGCACGCCUCCGCGCGGCAAAGGCGUCGCCGCUGGCGCCGAAUUCGACCAGCGUGCUGUGGCAGGCGCCCCAGUACGUGCUGAUGGGCAUGGGCCAGGUGCUCACUACCAUCGGGCAGCUCGACUUCUUCUACAGCCAGGCGCCGGCCGCGAUGAAGACCGUGUGCACGGCGCUCGGGUUCCUCGCGAUAGCGGCCGGCGACUACCUGAGCUCCUUCCUACUGACGGUCGUGCAGUGGGCCACGUCGACGGGCGGCGCGCCGGGCUGGAUCCCCGACAACCUGAACGAGGGUCACUUGGAUCGCUUCUUCUGGAUGAUGGCCGGACUGGGCUGCCUGAAUCUGAUGGUUUUUGUGAGCUGCGCCGCGAGGUACAAGGAAAAGAAUCCAAUAAGACCAUGUUGA
rnacentral:rRNA from 1 species